rnacentral:piRNA from 1 species
UAUCCAGGGCAUCCUGGGGAAAUCGAUGC